rnacentral:rRNA from 1 species
UAAUGGCCUACCAAGGCUAUGACGUCUAGGCGGAUUGAGAGAUUGACCGCCAACACUGGGACUGAGACACUGCCCAGACUUCUACGGAAGGCUGCAGUCGAGAAUCUUUCGCAAUGGACGAAAGUCUGACGAAGCGACGCCGCGUGUGUGAUGAAGGCUCUAGGGUUGUAAAGCACUUUCGCUUGGGAAUAAGAGAGAUUGGCUAAUAUCCAAUCGAUUUGAGCGUACCAGGUAAAGAAGCACCGGCUAACUCCGUGCCAGCAGCUGCGGUAAUACGGAGGGUGCUAGCGUUAAUCGGAUUUAUUGGGCGUAAAGGGCGUGUAGGCGGAAAGGAAAGUUAGAUGUCAAAUCUUGAGGCUCAACCUCAAGUCGGCAUCUAAUACUAUCUUUCUAGAGGUUGGAUGGAGAAAAGGGAAUUCCACGUGUAGCGGUGAAAUGCGUAGAUAUGUGGAAGAACACCAGUGGCGAAGGCGCUUUUCUAAUUUUUACCUGACGCUAAGGCGCGAAAGCAAGGGGAGCAAACAGGAUUAGAUACCCUGGUAGUCCUUGCCGUAAACGAUGCAUACUUGA